AUGCUUGCUUCAACAGCAUAUAUACUAAAAUUGGAAUCACACAGAGAUGAUUAGCAUGGUCCCUUGGUGGGGAUUACGUGCCCAUCAUUCGUGAAGCAUUCCAUAUUAAA
ensembl:snRNA U6 U6 spliceosomal RNA